CAGCAGCCGCGGUAAUACGUAGGGUGCGAGCGUUAAUCGGAAUUACUGGGCGUAAAGCGUGCGCAGGCGGUUUGUUAAGACAGAUGUGAAAUCCCCGGGCUUAACCUGGGAACUGCAUUUGUGACUGGCAAGCUAGAGUAUGGCAGAGGGGGGUGGAAUUCCGCGUGUAGCAGUGAAAUGCGUAGAUAUGCGGAGGAACACCGAUGGCGAAGGCAGCCCCCUGGGCCAAUACUGACGCUCAUGCACGAAAGCGUGGGGAGCAAACAGGAUUAGAUACCCCUGUAGUCCCUGUCUCUUAUAC
rnacentral:rRNA from 1 species